GGUCAAGCGAAUAAGUGCAUGUGGUGGAUGCCUUGGCGAUCACAGGCGAUGAAGGACGUAGUAGCUUGCGAAAAGCUGCGGGGAGCUGGCAAACGAGCUUUGAUCCGCAGAUGUCCGAAUGGGGAAACCCGGCCCGUAUGGGUCAUCCCUUGCUGAAUACAUAGGCAAGGGAGGCGAACGCAGUGAACUGAAACAUCUAAGUAGCUGCAGGAAAAGAAAUCAACCGAGAUUCCCAGAGUAGUGGCGAGCGAAAUGGGAACAGCCUUGUACUCUUUAGCAGUAUUGUUAGCGGAACGGAAUGGAAAGUCCGGCCAUAGUGGGUGAUAGCCCCGUACGCGAAAACAGUAUUGUGGAACUAGGUGUACGACAAGUAGGGCGGGACACGUGAAAUCCUGUCUGAAGAUGGGGGGACCAUCCUCCAAGGCUAAAUACUCGUGAUNNNNNNNNNNNNNNNNNNNNNNNNNNNNNNNNNNNNNNNNNNNNNNNNNNNNNNNNNNNNNNNNNNNNNNNNNNNNNNNNNNNNNNNNNNNNNNNNNNUCGACCGAUAGUGAACCAGUACCGUGAGGGAAAGGCGAAAAGAACCCCGGGAGGGGAGUGAAAUAGAUCCUGAAACCGCAUGCAUACAAACAGUCGGAGCCUGGAAACGGGUGACGGCGUACCUUUUGUAUAAUGGGUCAGCGACUUACAUUCAGUGGCAAGCUUAACCGAUUAGGGAAGGCGUAGCGAAAGCGAGUCCGAAUAGGGCGUUCAGUCGCUGGGUGUAGACCCGAAACCAAGUGAUCUAUCCAUGGCCAGGUUGAAGGUGCGGUAACACGUACUGGAGGACCGAACCCACUAACGUUGAAAAGUUAGGGGAUGAGCUGUGGAUAGGGGUGAAAGGCUAAACAAACUUGGAAAUAGCUGGUUCUCUCCGAAAACUAUUUAGGUAGUGCCUCGUGUCUCACCUUCGGGGGUAGAGCACUGUCAUGGUUGGGGGGUCUAUUGCUGAUUACCCCGCCAUAGCAAACUCCGAAUACCGAAGAGUGCAAUCACGGGAGACAGACAUCGGGUGCUAACGUCCGGUGUCAAGAGGGAAACAACCCAGACCGCCAGCUAAGGUCCCUAAGAUUGGCUAAGUGGGAAACGAAGUGGGAAGGCUAAAACAGUCAGGAGGUUGGCUUAGAAGCAGCCACCCUUUAAAGAAAGCGUAAUAGCUCACUGAUCGAGUCGUCCUGCGCGGAAGAUGUAACGGGGCUAAGCCAGUCACCGAAGCUGCGGAUGCACGUAAGUGCAUGGUAGGAGAGCGUUCUGUAAGCCUGUGAAGGUGUCUUGUAAAGGAUGCUGGAGGUAUCAGAAGUGCGAAUGCUGACAUGAGUAGCGAUAAAGGGGGUGAAAGGCCCCCUCGCCGUAAGCCCAAGGUUUCCUACGCAACGUUCAUCGGCGUAGGGUGAGUCGGCCCCUAAGGCGAGGCAGAGAUGCGUAGCUGAUGGGAAGCAGGUUAAUAUUCCUGCACCGUCGUAUGAUGCGAUGGGGGGACGGAUCGCGGAAGGUUGUCCGGGUGUUGGAAGUCCCGGUCCCUACAUUGGAGAUGGCACUUAGGCAAAUCCGGGUGCGUGAUUCAAGGGUGUGGGGCGAGCGACGUUAGGUCGCGAAGCAAUUGGAAGUGGUUCCAAGAAAAGCCUCUAAGCUUCAGUCAUACGAGACCGUACCGCAAACCGACACAGGUGGGCGAGAUGAGUAUUCUAAGGCGCUUGAGAGAACUCGGGAGAAGGAACUCGGCAAAUUGGUACCGUAACUUCGGGAUAAGGUACGCCCUUGUAGUUUGACUGGCUCGCGCCAGAAGGAUGAAGGGGUUGCAAUAAAAUGGUGGCUGCGACUGUUUAAUAAAAACACAGCACUCUGCAAACACGAAAGUGGACGUAUAGGGUGUGACGCCUGCCCGGUGCCGGAAGAUUAAAUGAUGGGGUGCAAGCUCUUGAUUGAAGUCCCGGUAAACGGCGGCCGUAACUAUAACGGUCCUAAGGUAGCGAAAUUCCUUGUCGGGUAAGUUCCGACCUGCACGAAUGGCGUAACGAUGGCCACACUGUCUCCUCCCGAGACUCAGCGAAGUUGAAGUGUUUGUGAUGAUGCAAUCUCCCCGCGGCUAGACGGAAAGACCCCAUGAACCUUUACUGUAGCUUUGCAUUGGACUUUGAACCGAUCUGUGUAGGAUAGGUGGGAGGCUUUGAAACCGGGACGCUAGUUUCGGUGGAGCCGACCUUGAAAUACCACCCUGGUUUGUUUGAGGUUCUAACCUUGGCCCGUGAAUCCGGGUCGGGGACAGUGCAUGGUAGGCAGUUUGACUGGGGCGGUCUCCUCCCAAAGUGUAACGGAGGAGUUCGAAGGUACGCUUGGUACGGUCGGACAUCGUACCUAAAGUGCAAUGGCAAAAGCGUGCUUAACUGCGAGACCGACAAGUCGAGCAGGUGCGAAAGCAGGACAUAGUGAUCCGGUGGUUCUGUAUGGAAGGGCCAUCGCUCAACGGAUAAAAGGUACUCUGGGGAUAACAGGCUGAUACCGCCCAAGAGUUCAUAUCGACGGCGGUGUUUGGCACCUCGAUGUCGGCUCAUCUCAUCCUGGGGCUGUAGCCGGUCCCAAGGGUAUGGCUGUUCGCCAUUUAAAGAGGUACGUGAGCUGGGUUUAAAACGUCGUGAGACAGUUUGGUCCCUAUCUGCCGUGGGCGUUGGAAUCUUGACGGGGGCUGCUCCUAGUACGAGAGGACCGGAGUGGACGUACCGCUGGUGUACCUGUUGUCUCGCCAGAGGCAUCGCAGGGUAGCUAUGUACGGAAGAGAUAACCGCUGAAAGCAUCUAAGCGGGAAACUCGCCUGAAGAUGAGGAUUCCCUGGAGACUUGAUCUCCCUGAAGGGUCGUUCGAGACCAGGACGUUGAUAGGCUGGGUGUGGAAGCGCAGUAAUGCGUUCAGCUAACCAGUACUAAUUGCCCGUGCGGCUUGAUCCU
rnacentral:rRNA from 1 species